rnacentral:snoRNA from 1 species
AGACCUCUGUGAUGGCCGGCACUGGGCUCUGACCUCCUCUGAGGACACCGUGCGCCCUGGGACUUUGACACCCAGGGAAUCUGAGGGGCCC